GAGACACCCUUCUGGGGCAGGACUUGCUUCAGUGGGGCUUUGACACUCACUGAGUCUGCCCCCUGAGUUGUGUCUCU
rnacentral:pre_miRNA from 1 species